rnacentral:rRNA from 1 species
CCUACGGGUGGCAGCAGUGGGGAAUAUUGGACAAUGGGCGAAAGCCUGAUCCAGCCAUGCCGCGUGUGUGAAGAAGGCCUUCGGGUUGUAAAGCACUUUCAGUGGGGAAGAAAGCCUUGGGGCUAAUACCCUCGAGGAAGGACAUCACCCACAGAAGAAGCACCGGCUAACUCCGUGCCAGCAGCCGCGGUAAUACGGAGGGUGCGAGCGUUAAUCGGAAUUACUGGGCGUAAAGCGCGCGUAGGCGGUCUGAUAAGCCGGUUGUGAAAGCCCCGGGCUCAACCUGGGAACGGCAUCCGGGACUGUCAGGAGAGAGUGCAGGAGAGGAAGGGAGAAUUCCCGGUGUAGCGGUGAAAGGCGUAGAGAUCGGGAGGAAUACCAGUGGAGAAGGCGGCAUUCUGGACUGACACUGACGCUGAGGUGCGAAAGCGUGGGUAGCAAACAGGAUGAGAUACCCCGGUAGUC